rnacentral:lncRNA from 1 species
CAAAAAGACAGUGAGGCAGAGCUGCUGAGCACAAGUAAGCUCAGGAGCCAACAGAGAUCUGGAUCACAAUCCUUAGCCAGGCUGCCAUUAACUAUUAGUUGGGUGAUCUUGAGCAAGUCACCUAACCUCUCUUGUGCCUUAGCUUCUUUCUCUGCACAGAGAACAGCAUGAUGAUUUCUUCAUACUCGGUUGUUCUGAGCAUUAAAGUGGAGUUUGCUUAACAUGGCAUAUGGCAAACUCUCAAUAAAUGCAGGUCAGCAAUAGGAGUAGGAAUGGUAGAGGUAUUAGUGCUAGUGGUAGUCGUCAUAGGGCAUCCAUAGUGCAAAAAAGGUUAUGAACCACCACUCUCAGCCCACAUCACGGUUGCAAGGCACUCUCUCUGCAGGUUGGUAGGUUGUCGUAAGUGAGGAGGUGGGAGAAGAUGCCUCCCCAGUUCAUACGGCUUUUGCAGAAAGUGUUGAAAGAAGCAUUCUUUUGGCUUUCCGGGCAUUUUGAAUUCCUAAUUCUGAUUAUUUUUUUUUUUCUCUAUGCUUAGGGGAGGCCAGAGGGAGGCCUUUCUCUGAGCUCUGCGGAGGCCAACUCUGGCUGUUUAUAUUUCUAGGAACCUAAGGAAUUGCCAGGUGACUCCAUGUGAAGCUACCCAGGUACCAGGAUCUGAACGUGUUAACACUGGACACUCAAAGUGGACAGAAGGGCAGACAGGCCUGGAAAGAUUGCUCCAUGUCCAGCAAAUUCCCUGUGGCCUCAUGGUGUUGCUUGUAGGUCUGGAUAGACCCUCCGUGGUUUCUGCCCAUCAUUUUUGCCUGGCUCUCACGUCCAUGGACCACCUCUCCAGAGAGCUGCUCUCAUCAUCCUUCCAACCUGGGGACACGAUUAGCACUGCCAGGACAGGUAGCCCCUCUCUUGGCUUUUUUUUUUUUUUUUAAUUUACAGAUUCCCUUUUGUCCCCAUGUGCAUCUCCCUCACCAGUGUGUGAGAUGUGUCUGUAAGUAAGGAUACGAAUGUCCUUAAGAAUAUGUGAUGUCAUUGUGUGUACUGAUGCAUUUCAAGUAAUGCGAAUGGCAUUGGGCUUAAAAAUGAUAUAAAGAAAGAGAGGGGUUUUAAUGGACUGGUCAUGAUAAUUUGCUAUGAAUUCAGGAACUCUUGAAAUGAUUAUGAUGAACUCUCUGCACUAAGGUUAAAAAACAAAAAAACCAGAUCCCUUGACCUUAAGGUCAAGGUUCUCUUCUUCAUAGAGAAAAGGAACAUGAUGAGUGCCCCAUCCUGAAGCCAUCAAGCAGGCUUUAAGGGCCAGAUUUGUUCCAGCAGUAAUAAAUAAUGUUAUCGGUUAUAAGAAUCUAACAUCAGGUACCCUCUUUAUGUAGGAUGCAUUGAGAAUGACCAAACAUAAUAUCCUUGCCAAAAAAUGCAUAAGCUUAAUCUAAUCGUAAGAAAACACCAGACAAACCCAAAUGAGGAACAUUUUACAAAACAAGUUAGCAGUGCUACUCAGAAGUAUCAAAGUCAUGAAAAACAAGAAAAGAGCAAGGAAAUGUCACAGACUGGAAGAAUCUAAGAAGACAUAUAACUAAAUGCAACCCAGGAUCCUGGAUUGAAUACCAAAACAGAAAGAGGACAUUCAUGGGCAAACUAGUAAAAUUACAUAAGUUUUUAGUCUUUUUGUUACAGUACCAAUGUUAAUUUCCAGGUUUUGAUAACUGUACUGUAGUUACGUAAGCUGUUAACAGUAGGGGAAGUCAGAUGAAGAUUAUAAAGGAACUCUCAAUGCUAUUUUUGCAACUUUUCUCUAAGUCUAGGAUUAUUUCAAAAUAAAAUUUUUUUUUUAAAUCUAGGCCUAAUGCCCUUUUGAGGAGUCAAUUUUUGGUGACUGAUUCAAUGUUUAAAUAGUUAUUGGUCUAUCUAAAUUUUCUAUCCCUUCUCUGAAAGUUUUAGUAAUUUAUAUUUUUUUCUCAAGUUUUCCAUUUCAACUAUGUUUUCAGAAUUUGGCAUGAUAUCCAUUUACAUAAUCCCCAAAUAGGUUUUGAGUUCUCUGCUAGGUUUAUAGUUAUAUCACCCUUUUUAUAACUGGCUUUAUUCAUUUGUGGGUCUCUUACUCUGCUUUCUCCUUUGGUUGGGGGCUA